UUUCGUUCCGGUUUUUUGGUUUUCCGGUUUUCUGAUUUCCGGAUAACGGGUUCUGUACUGUAAUAACUUUGCAGUUUCUUUCAUUAAUCAUAUAAAUUUGUAAACUUCUGAUGUAUUUUAAUGCAACAUACUUUAUGCAAUAAGCAUAACUUACUAUUAAUGAACUUAUAAUGCAAAUUGUUUUUUCUAAAUUAUAAGUUUGUUUAGUUUUUUUUUCUAUGCCUUUCUUUUAAAAAAUAAAAGCUAUAUGACUUUGAUUCCAAAUUGAUGCCAGACUCAAUUAUAGACUUAUUUGCAAAAAUACUGUUUAAAUUUAAUCAUUUAUUUAUUUUGCAGACUAAAGAGGAAUUAAGCCAAAUGAGAUGUGAAAAUAUGGCUUUGAAAAUUUUCUUAGAAGAGAAAUCAAGCUCUGUUAAUUUAUUGUCUAAAUUAAAAGAAACUGAUCCUUCAGUAGAUAUGGAUAAUUUUGAAACCAAAGUUAUGGAUUUAAUUGCACAUGAGCGACAGCAAAUUGAAGAGA